rnacentral:rRNA from 1 species
UGGGGAAUAUUGCACAAUGGGCGCAAGCCUGAUGCAGCCAUGCCGCGUGUAUGAAGAAGGCCUUCGGGUUGUAACGUACUUUCAGCGGGGAGGAAGGUGUUGUGGUUAAUAACCACAGCAAUUGACGUUACCCGCAGAAGAAGCACCGGCUAACUCCGUGCCAGCAGCCGCGGUAAUACGGAGGGUGCAAGCGUUAAUCGGCAUUACUGGGCGUAAAGCGCACGCAGGCGGUCUGUCAAGUCGGAUGUGAAAUCCCCGGGCUCAACCUGGGAACUGCAUCCGAAACUGGCAGGCUUGAGUCUUGUAGAGGGGGGUAGAAUUCCAGGUGUAGCGGUGAAAUGCGUAGAGAUCUGGAGGAAUACCGGUGGCGAAGGCGGCCCCCUGGACAAAGACUGACGCUCAGGUGCGAAAGCGUGGGGAGCAAACA